CAGCAGAUAACAUCUCAGGGGCAUCGUUGACAGGUUCCAUGAAGGUCAGAGGACUGGAGAAUGCUCUUACAGCGCAGGAAACAGAGAGUGGUCGUCAGACCAAGACCUAGGAGAAUUUCGCCAAAAGAAUACCUCUUGGAAGAUAAUCCCGUGCCAGUGAAUUUAUGUUUUGGUAUUUGUGGGACACCUCCUUGUUCUCCAUCCAAAAACUGUGUGAAAAA